rnacentral:rRNA from 1 species
UACGUAGGGCGCAAGCGUUGUCCGGAAUUAUUGGGCGUAAAGAGCUCGUAGGUGGUGUGUCGCGUCUGCCGUGAAAGCCCAUGGCUUAACUGUGGGUCUGCGGUGGAUACGGGCAGGCUGGAGGCUGGUAGGGGCAAGCGGAAUUCCUGGUGUAGCGGUGAAAUGCGCAGAUAUCAGGAGGAACACCGGUGGCGAAGGCGGCUUGCUGGGCCAGUUCUGACGCUGAGGAGCGAAAGCGUGGGGAGCAAACAGG